CAAGUCUGAUAAAAUUGUUGUUGAGAAAUCGACAGUCCCUGUGAAGACAGCUGAGGCCAUAGAAAAAAUUCUGACCCACAACAGCAAGGGGAUCAACUUCCAGAUUCUAUCCAACCCAGAAUUCCUUGCUGAGGGAACUGCAAUUCAGGAUCUGUUCAAUCCAGAUCGGGUCCUCAUAGGAGGUAGGGAGACACCUGAGGGUCAGAAGGCAAUCAAGGCACUGAGAGAUGUAUAUGCCCAUUGGGUCCCUGUGGAGCGUAUUAUUUGCACCAAUCUUUGGUCUGCUGAGCUCUCAAAGCUCGCUGCCAAUGCCUUUUUGGCACAGAGGAUCUCUUCGGUUAAUGCCAUGUCAGCU
rnacentral:lncRNA from 1 species